UACGAAGGGGGCUAGCGUUGUUCGGAAUUACUGGGCGUAAAGCGCGCGCAGGCGGCUUCUCAAGUCAGGGGUGAAAGCCCAGAGCUCAACUCUGGAACUGCCUUUGAAACUGUGGAGCUUGAGUACGGUAGAGGUGAGUGGAAUUCCCAGUGUAGAGGUGAAAUUCGUAGAUAUUGGGAAGAACACCGGUGGCGAAGGCGGCUCACUGGACCGUUUCUGACGCUCAUGCGCGACAGCGUGGGGAUCAAACAGG
rnacentral:rRNA from 1 species